GCAACUGACAGCUAAACGUAAUAUAUUCUAUGGUUAAUUAUCGUAGAAUUUUGAAGUUGACGUGUUUAAAACAAACAGUGUGGCGGAGCAAAGUUCGCCGGGUCCGCUAGUCAUUUGUAUAACCGUAAAACUAUCGUAUUUAUUCAUACACGCGGAGAUUCCCAACGAUUUGGAGCAUCGAACAUGGCAUCUUCGCAAUCCCGAACAUCAAACAAGGCGACCCCGUUUCGAGCUACAGUUUACCUUGAGAGUCGUGACAUAGAAUUCUCGUGUACAUACAUGCACGAAAUUCAAUCUCCCAAUAACAUUUGCGAAGCUGCUACAAGAAACUUUGCUUCAAAUUUACGAAACUGCCGACCGUUGGGUUUGAAGUUAAUUACUAAUUUUUGUUUUUAUUAAUUUACCUCCAUUGAUUAUGUUUGUGAAACAUAUUUUGAAUUUUUGUUACGAGUUAGAUAUUUUUACACUACAAUUGAUAGGCAAUAUUAAAGCUUUUACUAAACAGUGAAAUAGUAUAAUACCUCAGAAAUUGUCCAUACGACAGUUUCAUAUUUUACUUGGGAUACGGUACAUACAGUGGAAACAAUCUUUUAUCAAAUACAUCUAAGGUUAGCUUCAGACUGGAUCAAAAAAUAAUUUUUGCCAUAAAUUGAGGAAUAAAAGUCAAGUCAAAAAUAAUUACUCACUUACUAAAUAGUCUCUGCAAUCGGCCCCUCGUAUCUAAGGAACGUGAUCGUUGUGAUGGUCCACACUUCAAUCAGAUGAUCUGCUUCCAUCAGUUCCUGUCUAUUAUUUCCGACUUACUUUACUUACUCCCGAAGAAGAGAGAGAGGGAGAAAGAGAGAUGAGAUGAAAAAAUUAAAUACGUUAGGAACUUACUCUUACUUAUUCCGAAUUCCUAUUAAAGUAAUUGCGUUGUCUUUCUAAAUGAAAAAUACCAAAUUACUACAUAACAAUAAAACGGGGAAUGGUAAUAGAUCAUUUAAACACGAAUUGAUAUUAUUGGAAGAGGUCGUAAUGUUUUUCCUAUGCUUACAUUCGUGGCGCUCACGAUAAAAUUUAUGCUGAUUUUAUAACCAACACAUGUGCGAAUAGAGUCCUGAGAGAAUAUUUACACAUACAUACGCACAAAACGACUCGUAAAAAACUAUACUUGUACUUACGUGACGCACAUCGUAAAUGUUAAGGUUGACUUUUUUAUUUUUUAUUGUUUAGAUGGGUGGACGAGCUCACAGCUCACCUGGUGUUAAGUGGUUACUGGAGCGCAUAGACAUCUACAACGUAAAUGCACCACCCACCUUGAGUUAUAAGUUCUAAGGUCUCAGUAUAGUUACAACGGCUGCCCCGCCCUUCAAGCUGAAACGCAUUACUGCUUCACGGCGGAAAUAAGCGGAGUGGUGGUACUUACCCGUGCGGACUCACAAGAGGUCCUACCACCAGUAAAACUAUUGAAAUGUUGACAAAAAAAACGAGAAAUACUAUUUUCGAUAAGAUUUACUAUUUGAAAACGCUAUCAAUACAUGUACGUAGUUUUCAUUUAACCUAAUUUGACCUAAGUCAAGUAUUUGGAAUUAUAUUGGUUUCAUUCGUUUGUUCUUUCAUUUGUUUUUUUCACUCGUACUAAUUAUAAAAUUCAUCAUAGGUAUAUGUAUGAAAUCAGUUAAAAAAAGAUGUGUGUAUAGGAGCGAAGUU